GGGCUGUUGGUCUAGAGGUAUGAUUCUCCGUUAGGGUCGGAGAGGUCCCGGGUUCGAUCCCCGGAUAGCCCC